UACAGAGGUCUCAAGCGUUGUUCGGAUUCAUUGGGCGUAAAGGGUGUGUAGGUGGCGCCGUAAGUCGGGUGUGAAAUCUCGGGGCUUAACUCCGAAACUGCAUUCGAUACUGCGGUGCUUGAGGACUGGAGAGGAGACUGGAAUUCAUGGUGUAGAAGUGAAAUGCGUAGAGAUCAUGAGGAAGACCAGUGGCGAAGGCGGGUCUCUGGACAGUUCCUGACACUGAGACACGAAGGCCAGGGGAGCAAACGGG
rnacentral:rRNA from 1 species